CCCAACUUCGGUUAUAAGAUCCCUCAAAGAUGAUGAGGUUAAUAGGUUCGAGGUGGAAGCGUGGUGACACGUGGAGCUGACGAAUACUAAUCGAUUGAAGACUUAAUCAA
rnacentral:rRNA from 1 species